rnacentral:rRNA from 1 species
UACGGGGGGGGGCAAGCGUUGUUCGGAAUUACUGGGCGUAAAGGGCUCGUAGGUGGCCAACUAAGUCAGACGUGAAAUCCCCAGGCUCAACUUGGGAACUGCGUCUGAUACUGGAUGGCUUGAAUUCGGGAGAGGGAUGCAGAAUUCCAGGUGUAGCGGUGAAAUGCGUAGAUAUCUGGAGGAAUACCGGUGGCGAAGGCGGCCUUCUGGACAGUGACUGACGCUGAGACGCGAAAGCGUGGGGAGCAAACAGG